rnacentral:lncRNA from 1 species
ACUAACACAACCCAAUAAUUUAGAUGCAAUAAGUGACAUGUAUCGCAACCAAUUAUAGCCCAUGAUGCAAUAGAGCCUUCUAUUGCGACUAAAUUUAUGGUGUUGCAAAUACAAGUGGUUGGAUUAAGGUAAAAACCUUGUAGUGUGCAUAAAUCUAUUUCUACAGCUAAAUCUUUAAACUAAAACAUGGCAUAUCAUAGAUCUAAUGCAUAGAGAAUUUCAUAAGGAUUCCAAAAAGUCCACAUUUGCUAUUUUACGACAUUUCUAGCAUUUUCUAUGCAUUAACAAAGUUCAACCAGAAAUCUGAAAAAAACAAAAGAAAAGGAAAACACAUCUUGCAUCGGGAACCCUAAGUUUUUCACGAAUCAACCGCAGCCCAUAAGCACUAUUCAUAUGAGUCUGUGGUUCGCAUCCUGAGGUUUACUCUAUUUGAACCCGAGGUCGCGAAUCAAGAGGACUGUC